rnacentral:tRNA from 1 species
CGCAUCGUAGCUUAACAGGUAGAGCGCCAGUCUCAUAAGCUGGGUUGUAAGGGUUCGACUCCCUUCGAUGCAA